rnacentral:rRNA from 1 species
ACAUGCCUACAACAUAGAAUUAAUGCACCAAAUCCCAUUAUAACUCCACAAUUAAGCAUGCUCAAGAUAGAGUAGUACUGGGAUGGGGGACUUCCUGGGAAGUCCUAGUGUUUUACAUGCC